rnacentral:rRNA from 1 species
AAUAGAUACCCAGGUAGUCCACCCCGUAAACGUUGGGAACUAGUUGUGGGGUCCUUUCCACGGAUUCCGUGACGCAGCUAACGCAUUAAGUUCCCCGCCUGGGGAGUACGGCCGCAAGGCUAAAACUCAAAGGAAUUGACGGGGACCCGCACAAGCGGCGGAGCAUGCGGAUUAAUUCGAUGCAACGCGAAGAACCUUACCAAGGCUUGACAUACACCGGAAACGGCCAGAGAUGGUCGCCCCGCAAGGUCGGUGUACAGGUGGUGCAUGGUUGUCGUCAGCUCGUGUCGUGAGAUGUUGGGUUAAGUCCCGCAACGAGCGCAACCCUCGUUCUAUGUUGCCAGCACGUAAUGGUGGGAACUCAUGGGAUACUGCUGGGGUCAACUCGGAGGAAGGUGGGGAUGACGUCAAAUCAUCAUGCCCCUUAUGUCUUGGGCUUCACGCAUGCUACAAUGGCCGGUACAAAGGGCUGCAAUACCGUGAGGUGGAGCGAAUCCCAAAAAGCCGGUCCCAGUUCGGAUUGAGGUCUGCAACUCGACCUC